rnacentral:rRNA from 1 species
GAACCGUCCGAACGUUAUUCGGAAUCACUGGGCUUAAAGGGUGCGUAGGCGGCGCAGUAAGUAGGGUGUGAAAUCCCUCGGCUUAACCGAGGAACUGCGCCCUAAACUACUGUGCUCGAGGGAGAUAGAGGUGAGCGGAACUUAGGGUGGAGCGGUGAAAUGCGUUGAUAUCCUAAGGAACACCGGUGGCGAAAGCGGCUCACUGGAUCUCUUCUGACGCUGAGGCACGAAAGCUAGGGUAGCGAACGGGAUUAGAUACCCCGGUAGUCCUAGCCGUAAACGAUGAGCACUGGAUUGGAGGGUCCUCCAUAGCCUUCCAGUCGCAGCGAAAGUGUUAAGUGCUCCGCCUGGGGAGUAUGGUCGCAAGGCUG